UGUCUGUUUUGACUGGCUAUUACUCGUGACUUCUAAACAAUAAUUUUUCAAACAAUCAUAUUAUAUUUACCAUAGUAAUAAUUACAGACAGUCAACUCUAAUCUAUCCCAUUUUUCUCAUUUGCUGAUCCAAAAAAUGAGCUGAAUCGUGACUCAAAACUGUAAUAUCAUCCAAAUUGUGAAUUUUGUGAUCCACGACACCUAUUUUAAAUUCCUAUGGAAAUCUAGUUCUAUUUUAAUAUCUGCUUCACUCCUUCUAUUUUGUGUCAUUGUAUUUUACAGCCACUUAUGUAGAGGCCAGGGUAAAGCUACAUCAAGCUGAGUAUACAUCAGACCUGACAGACACCGAAGAUUGCUCGAUAAAAAGAAAGGCAAGGUCAAAACUCUUCCAGAGUCAGUGCAAGCAACUAGAAUCAAGUGAGCAGUCUGAUUCAGCGGAGGAACUUCCACCCGCUCCCCCAGAAAAACUCCUUUCAGCAAAGAAAAUGACCAGCUGGAUCACCAGCCCCACUGCCCAGCGAGUCGCCAGUUCAACUGUCCAGAGGGUUGCAAGUCCCAGUUGUGAAGCCAUGUUCUCUAAACUUUUUACAAUUGUAGAAGAAAUUAAGGAGACCCAGAAGGGUCAUGGUAAGAUGCUAAAUGUCCUGCUGAAGAAGCAAGAUGCAUCAAUGAUGGAGGUUUCUGAUGGAGUGGUCUUCCCGCUGCAAAGUCAAGCAGAUGUUGAGGCUUUUGAGGAGAAACUGGGGGACCGCAGUCUAAUGUCUGCUUUUUUUUCAAAUUGAUUUUCAUUAGCCUACAAAAUAAAAAUGUGUUACAUUACAGUAAAUUACAUAAAGGCUACAACUUCUUAACAAAUGUUUAGUUGACUUUCCGGCUGAAUUUUUAAAUUUUUGAAGCUUAUUGUCUUAGCAGUUAAUGUAAGCCUUUUUUUCUCCUUUUGGCUCUCAUUCCUAGGUUGCCAUGGUGGCAAAUAUAGGAGACACAAGUGUAGAUGAUGCAACGAAGCGAAUGAUGAAAUACAUUCUGUCAAACGAGCUGGCAUUGGACUAUAUCCUGUUUGGUUGUCACAGGAAAAAGAAGUUUAAGGACUUGCGUCUUUUCAACGUUGUGUAUGGAAAAGGCCCUUAAGAAGAACUCAUUGACGGCACAGGUGAACCAGCAGGAAGCAGAGAGGGCACUGUCGAAAUGGUUCACUGGGGCAAGAGACAGAGGAGGACGAAGGGCAUCCAGACAGCCAGUGCCAAAUUAAAGUAAUUGAAGCAGAAUUUGCUCGCCUUAUAUCAGUUGACCUGAAGGGCUCCCUCUUUGCUGGGCUGGACCAGUAUAUGACAAGGUUCCUGGAGCUGUACAAAAGAAAAGAGUGGCAUAGUGGACCUAGCCAGGCUGAUGAGAUGUCUCGAUGAGUGUUAAGGAAUGAUUUUUUUCAUCAGUGCCUCUCACACUUGUUAGCAUCUUCCACACCAUAUUUGUGAAACUUUCUAACUGAAAGAUACCCUGGGUGUGUUGAACCUGCUUCGUAGUGCAGGCCCCAGAUGUCAAAGAAUGAAGCAAACACUAAUAUCGACAGUGGAUCAUUAAGGUCUUACAGUAUUAAAUUUGAUUUUUAAAAUGUGAGGCCAUAAAAUGUCUUGAUGUCUUGUUUUUACUUGUGAGGUCUUAAAUAACUGUUUACAAGCAGAUACAAAUAGCAGUUGUUGAGGAGUACAGUUUUUUUCUUUUUGAGCAGAGCUCCAUACACCACAAGAAGACAGUUCUUCUGCUGGGCCUUCCUCACUUUCUCAAGGAGGAUCCCUCCAGUUUUUUCAAGACUGUUGAGGCCACAGAUGAUGAGGAGACGUUCACAUGGGGAAUGAAAGUUGGUGUGGUCAUGGUGAAGGAUGGAGAAGACAUCAUUGACACAGCAGUGGUCCUUGAGGAAGCAGUGAUUAUGACCAAUCAGCAUGACCUCCCAUGUGCCAUUGCCUUGCUGAUGGGUCUUUUUUUUUCUCUGAACAUUGACUAUCCAAAAGAACUAAAGUACACGUUCGAAGUGAUUCAAAAGGUCCUGAUGAACAUAGGUGAGGGACAGUGUUCCUCACUUGUGGGACAUGGGUUACGUAACAGGCUGCUGAGAUGGUAUCAGAACUCAUCUCAUGCCUGAGUGUUAAAACUUUAUUUUUCAUGUCAAGUUCUUAUUUUGUCUAUCAUAGGUUUUGCUAAUGCAAAUUUUUCAAUUUUUCACUUAAAUUCGUAUUGUAGUAAUUGUAAUUAUUUAGCGCUCAAUGGACAUCUAGCUCAAAGAAGACGCUCCUUUUGUUCACCUGUACUCCGUCCACACACUCGGAAAUUUCUUCCAUUUCGCAGAUGUUCCGUUUAGACAUGUUUACUAUUUAGACCUUGUCAGGCCGCAGAGGACACUUUAAUGGUAUGCUGUUCCAUUUACCAGUGUGGAAUAUGAGGUUACAAUGGGGACAAAUGAACAGAAAAAGAAAAUGAGUCAUUCCACAUUUCAGAUCUAUACUCUGAAACUGUUGGACCUCCAACAUUUAAUUAAGAUGACCAGGUUCAGCUGUUGCUUCCUUUCCCACAACCCGUUGUACAAAGAGCGGCGUUUUUCAAGUGUUAUUGUUUCUGUGUCCCGAGGUUUUUCGGGAGGGGCGCGGGGAAAAGUGAAAAUCCGAAGUACUGUUUUUUGACUUUUGUGACAAAUCAUUUUCAUAUUCAGUAGUCCCCUGUAGAGGCUCAACUGUUACUUACCUACAGUCCUUUGCUUCCUCAUUUACUGCCCCUCUGAGAAAAUGCCCAGUUGUCCAGCUGUGUAUUAUCACUUCACACUUUGUUGACUUGAAAUGUAUCAUCCACAUCCAUUCCCUGCGCUUGUUUGUGAACUGCUGAUGUCGAGGCAGAGGGGGCAGGGGGUUGGACGAACACACUUGAUUAAAAGUGUUCACUUGGGUUGGCAAUGUUAUGCAAUGCACCAAUAAACGCUCA